rnacentral:misc_RNA from 1 species
GAAAUGCGAUAAGUAAUGUGAAUUGCAGAAUUCAGUGAAUCAUCGAAUCUUUGAACGCACCUUGCGCUCCUUGGUAUUCCGAGGAGCAUGCCUGUUUGAGUGUCAUGGAAUUCUCAACUCUAUUUGCUUUUGUGAAUAGAGCUUGGAUUUGGAGGUUUAUUGCUGGUACUUGUGAUCGGCUCCUCUUGAAUGCAUUAGCUCGAACCUUUGCGGAUCAGCUAUCGGUGUGAUAAUUGUCUACGCCGUUGCAGUGAAGCAUAUCAAUGGGCUCGGCUUCCAAUCGUCCUUUACUGGACAAUGACUUUGACCUUUGACCUCAAAUCAGGUAGGAUUACCCGCUGAACUUGAGC